rnacentral:rRNA from 1 species
GACGAACCGUGCGAACGUUAUUCGGAAUCACUGGGCUUAAAGCGCGUGUAGGCGGGACGGCGCGUCGGUCGCUGAAAUCCCCCGGCUUAACCGGGGAACUGGCGUCGAUACGACCGCCCUGGAGGGGCGUAGGGGGACCUGGAACUUCCGGUGGAGCGGUGAAAUGCGUUGAGAUCGGAAGGAACGCCCGUGGCGAAAGCGAGGUCCUGGACGCCUACUGACGCUGAGACGCGAAAGCCAGGGGAGCGAACAGG